rnacentral:rRNA from 2 species
AGGGAAGCAGAACCACAGGGAUUGCCCUAGUAACGGCGAGUGAAGCGGCAACAGCUCAAAUUUGAAAUCUGGCCUCUUUGGGGUCCGAGUUGUAAUUUGCAGAGGGCGCUUUGGUGUUGGCAGCGGUCCAAGUUCCUUGGAACAGGACGUCACAGAGGGUGAGAAUCCCGUACGUGGUCGCUAGCCCUCACCGUGUAAAGCCCCUUCGACGAGUCGAGUUGUUUGGGAAUGCAGCUCUAAAUGGGAGGUAAAUUUCUUCUAAAGCUAAAUACUGGCCAGAGACCGAUAGCGCACAAGUAGAGUGAUCGAAAGAUGAAAAGCACUUUGGAAAGAGAGUUAAAAAGCACGUGAAAUUGUUGAAAGGGAAGCGCUUGCAGCCAGACUUGCCUGUAGUUGCUCAUCCGGGUUUUUACCCGGUGCACUCUUCUGCGGGCAGGCCAGCAUCAGUUUGGGCGGUUGGAUAAAGGUCUCUGUCAUGUACCUCUCUUCGGGGAGAACUUAUAGGGGAGACGACAUGCAACCAGCCUGGACUGAGGUCCGCGCAUCUGCUAGGAUGCUGGCGUAAUGGCUGUAAGCGGCCCGUCUUGAAACACGGACCAAGGAGUCUAACAUCUAUGCGAGUGUUUGGGUGUCAAGCCCGAGCGCGUAAUGAAAGUGAACGGAGGUGGGAACCUUUCGGGGUGCACCAUCGACCGAUCCUGAUGUCUUCGGAUGGAUUUGAGUAAGAGCAUAGCUGUUGGGACCCGAAAGAUGGUGAACUAUGCUUGAAUAGGGUGAAGCCAGAGGAAACUCUGGUGGAGGCUCGCAGCGGUUCUGACGUGCAAAUCGAUCGUCAAAUUUGGGCAUAGGGGCGAAAGACUAAUCGAACUAUCUAGUAGCUGGUUCCUGCCGAAGUUUCCCUCAGGAUAGCAGUAACGUUUUCAGUUUUAUGAGGUAAAGCGAAUGAUUAGAGGCCUGGGGGUUGAAAAACCU